rnacentral:rRNA from 1 species
AUUGAACGCUGGCGGCAUGCCUUACACAUGCAAGUCGAACGCGAAAGGGGGGCAACUCCUGAGUAGAGUGGCGCACGGGUGAGUAAUGCAUCGGAACGUGUCCUGUAGCGGGGGAUAACCUAGCGAAAGCUAGGCUAAUACCGCAUACGUCCUACGGGAGAGAGUGGAGGAUCGUAAGACCUCACACUAUAGGAGCGGCCGAUGCCGGAUUAGCUAGUUGGUGGGGUAAGAGCCUACCAAGGCGACGAUCCGUAGCUGGUCUGAGAGGAUGAUCAGCCACACUGGGACUGAGACACGGCCCAGACUCCUACGGGAGGCAGCAGUGGGGAAUUUUGGACAAUGGGGGAAACCCUGAUCCAGCCAUGCCGCGUGAGUGAAGAAGGCCUUCGGGUUGUAAAGCUCUUUCGGCCGGGACGAAAUCGCACGCGUGAAUAUCGUGUGCGGAUGACGGUACCGGCAGAAGAAGGACCGGCUAACUACGUGCCAGCCGCCGCAGUAA